AUUGAACGCUGGCGGCAGGCCUAACACAUGCAAGUCGAACGGUAGCACAGAGAGCUUGCUCUCGGGUGACGAGUGGCGGACGGGUGAGUAAUGUCUGGGAAACUGCCCGAUGGAGGGGGAUAACUACUGGAAACGGUAGCUAAUACCACAUAACGUCGCAAGACCAAAGAGGGGGACCUUCGGGCCUCUCACUAUCGGAUGAACCCAGAUGGGAUUAGCUAGUAGGCGGGGUAAUGGCCCACCUAGGCGACGAUCCCUAGCUGGUCUGAGAGGAUGACCAGCCACACUGGAACUGAGACGCGGUCCAGACUCCUACGGGAGGCAGCAGUGGGGAAUAUUGCACAAUGGGCGCAAGCCUGAUGCAGCCAUGCCGCGUGUAUGAAGAAGGCCUUCGGGUUGUAAAGUACUUUCAGCGGGGAGGAAGGCGACGCGGUUAAUAACCGCGUCGAUUGACGUUACCCGCAGAAGAAGCACCGGCUAACUCCGUGCCAGCCGCCGCGGUAA
rnacentral:rRNA from 1 species